AUGGGAGUGGGGCCCAAGCGGCCAUCACGGCGCGCUGGCGGCACAGGGAUGGGGUGUCCUGCGUUCCCUGAGGAAGGUCCCCGGGAGGUACGGAGAGAGCCCAGGGACAAGGGGCCCCCCGAAGUCAAAGGCUUUUCCGGCUCCAGCGCCAUCCGCCCCCAUCGGGCCCAGUCUGCAAAAUCACCACCUCACUUGGCCGGCCUUCGGCCCUUCUACCCUCCCGUCUCCCACGAACGCACUAAAGAAACAGUCACAACCUGACCCAUCCCCAGCCAUACUCCAUGUACUCCCGGAACCCAGGGGCUCCGUCCUGCCACCGAUGACCCCAUCAGGAGGGAGUGCUUUCAGUUCCUAGCACCUGCAAUCCCACCCGAAGACAAAGCUUUUCACGGCAUAAUCUCUUUGUGCUCUUUUCUAGUAUGAGGUUUGAGUCAAUCGUUGAGAAAAGAAGUUACACAGACAAUAGUGAAAUUCUUUGAACUUUAUAAAUGAGAAAACAGUAAUUAACUUGGACAACAGCAUUAGUUUUUCAUUUCAAAAUUUUGACAAAUAUAAUUAAAAUGUAUAAGGCAGUAUCUAGAAAACAGAAGGAAUGAAGUAAAAAAACAGACUAAAGGAAGUUGGUAUAAACCAGAAGACCAAAGAAUUAAAAUAAUGAAAAUGUGUUUAUAGGUCAUAAAAUGCAAAUAAUAACUUUUAUUAAUAUAAAAGCAACUGAAUAUUUUUUCUGCCCCAAAAUGCAAAAGCCAUUAAAGUGGAGGGGGGGAGAGAAGGGGGAGGGGAGAGGAGGCAAUUCUUAGUUGUCUUCUUCACCAAGAAGAGGUAUAAGAUUUAGUUUUG